AAGCCUCUCUUCUGCUUUGUGCACUCCAGAGCAAAGCUGGGAUGUGCUGGCUUUCAGAGAGCACAGGAGCCAGAACCUGUGUGCAUCUUGUCUCCUUGGCACAGUGCCUUGGGGAAGGAGGCAAAGUGGGUUAUGCUGUCUGCUCAUUUGGCCCACCAUCAAUCAUCCUCAUUAGUAACUUUUUCAUCUCCGUUAUUUCAACUAAAAGGGCAAAGUCCACAAGCUUAUUACAGUCUGAGAAGCUAUGCUUCUGCAAUGCCCUCAGCCGCCCUAGUGGCUCCCAGUUCACCCCACAGACCAGCAGCGUUGCUGCCGUCGAGGCUAGUGUGCCCUGCCCGCAUGGCCCAGCACCAGCUGGAACAGAGCGGGAACUGAAUGUGCUGAUGGGCAAAAAACAUCUUGUGCAAGGGCCAGAGAAGAUCAACUUACCCACAAGACACUGAAAAGCAGUUUCUAGGGCAGGCAGAAAGCCUUGGGACCACAAGCAGCACAAUCUGGUAACUGCAGAGUGAUGAGGGACAGGCAGCUCUGCACAAGUGAUGCCUGUUGUAGGCAUUUGGCUAGGGGUACCCUUAUGCUGGGCUGUUAGGCACAGCAGCAUCUGAGUGCUCCUGCUUGUGAAAGAUGUGAAGAAACCCAGGACUAGCUAUGAUGAAGCCCAGGCCUUCCUGAGCUCACCAAGAGAGGCAGUGGAGCAUCCCCAGCAUGGGCACCCAGCUUCCCCAGUUGGAGAGGCUGGGUUUGCUGGUGUGCAGCAGGCAGAGCUGCACAGCCAAGGAGCCCCCACACCACAGCCAGCCGUACACACAAAUGCCCAUGAAAUAGCUUUACAAAACACAAGCUCAGCAGGGCGUGAACUCCAAAGCUACCACAUGUAAGCAACAGCUAAUGCUGAAGGAGAAACUACUGGAUCCUUUCCACCAUCCCUUACCCUCUGGGAGCCUUUCUUUUGCAUCUGUAAGGUAUUAGCAUAAGAAAUUACUAAUUACUUUUGCAGCUCCACCCUAACAAAGCAAGCUCAUCUGCCUCCUUAGGAGAGGUCAUGCCCGGACAACCAUCUGGCUGCUUGAUUGCUUCAGACACCUCCUGGGGUUCUAAAGACAGUGUGGACUCUAGGGCAUGAGGAGACAAGUGGUUGCUGAGUAGCUAUGGGGUGAAGCAGCUUUCAGCCCCCUGCCCUGGGCUGAGCAAGCAGUACCAUGCUUUUGGUAGCUGGGAAAACUGAGGAACUGUGCAAGGAAGAGGGGUGCUUGCGUGACAGCACAUCCCACCUACUCACACACACGUGCAAAGGAAUGCAUCCAUGUGCACAUGCCUAUGCACCACACUGGGGCUUUCUGCAGCUUUCCUGUGAGGCAGCACAGCAUGCAGUGAUGGGAACCUCCCCAAAGGGCUAUGUCCUUGGAGAGGAUGUUCAUGGGGCCUCUGAAGGCUUCAUCCAAGACAUCUGGCCAUACUACUCCAGCAGCUGGAGCAGCUGGACCCUCCUUCCCUCCUGUCCACACCUAUGAAACCAGCAGAGAUUAACGUCUUUCUUCUAACCCAAAACCUCAAGUCACCCUGUGGAGCAGAAGACCCCCAGCAAACAUACUGAAACCACUAGGUCUGCCCAAACCUGACGUGGUGCCAUCCCUGUCCCUGGACAGGCUGGUGAGCUAGGCUGAGCACAGCUCUUGGGAGGGGGAGCUAAGCAGACAGAUGCAGCUCCAGCCCCUCAGGAAAAGCUUCCUCCAAAGCUGUACCCGCUCAGAGCACUCCCACCCUGGCUAUUGUUUUGGGAAUGGCUGGAAAAUAUCAGCAGGGCGCUGGGUGCGGGUGGGGGGUCAGGAAAAAGGAAAAACGGAUGAUUAGAUUUUUUUUUUUUAAAUCAGCCAAUAAAUUAUAUUAACUUUUCCAUUGA